GUCCACGCCGUAAACGAUGAGUGCUAGAUGCUGUGGGUAUUGACCCCCGCGGUGUCGCAGCCAACGCGUUAAGCACUCCGCCUGGGGAGUACGGCCGCAAGGCUAAAACUCAAAGGAAUUGACGGGGGCCCCGCACAAGCGGUGGAGCAUGUGGUUCAAUUCGACGCAACGCGCAGAACCUUACCUGGGUUAAAUCCACUCGAAUCCUACAGAGAUGUAGGAGUGCCCUUCGGGGAACGAGUGAGACGGUGCUGCAUGGCUGUCGU
rnacentral:rRNA from 1 species